AAAAGCACCCCAACUCUUCUAAAUUAUGGAUACACCUAUAUUCUACCUCAUUCCAAUUUAUUGACGGCCUCUCUAUGCCCUCGAAACUUUCACCCUGGAAACAUGAGUUCGAAAAUCAUCUCACCAGCAAAGCUGCUACAAAAUAUAACAAUCACUCAAUUACGCAGAUCCUGUACAUCACCCCAUUUUUGACUUCAAAUCCAUGUACCAUUUGGAUUGAGGGAAUUUAAACAACAGUCGAUUUCACAGUCAAAAUCCAUAAAAUCGUUGAAAAUAGCUCAUUCACCUCAGGUUGAUAAAUGUGGAUUCCUUAACUAAUUCUUUUAUUACAAAAAUGCUCUUCUCUGUACCAAAGGAAAUUGCAUAAAUCCAUGAAAUUAAACAUUCAUAGUUUUUAAUUCCAUUUAUUUUGUCAAACUAUAUAAAUUUUAAAUUUCCUCAAUCCAAACAUGGCCGUAGUCACCAUCUGUUCAUAUAAAAUUAAUUAGACAACCAUGGUUGAGAUUAAAUCCGUCAUUUCAAAGUAAUAAGGAAUGUUAAUCAGUUUUUUUUUUUUUUUAAAUAAAAUUACUAGAGCAACAUUUAAAAUAAGUUUAACAAAAUAAUAAUGUCUGCCAAUAAAAUUGAUAAAGUGUAGAUAAAUUUGGCUGGGUAUUUAACGCAUCUAUUAGAAAAGCAGCAACUUUACAUAAUUUAUAGCAUUUCUCAUGUUUCAGUUUUUUUUAAUUAUUUUUUUUCUUUUGGGUAUGCGUGCGUGUGUUGUUUGUUGCGGGGUGGGGGGUGGGGGGGUUGUGGUUUGACACAUCAAAGAAAACAAGGAACAGUAUAACACAUAUCAGCAGAAAAGCUUCAUAAGAGAAAACUCUUUACGGAGCAUUUUGUAAAUUUCCUGUUUGGUUUGGGAGGCAGGGGGUUGGUCCGUAAGCAAUUAUGCAAGGAUGCUAACCUAAAGAAAGGAAAAUAGGCAACCGAUUGACCUUUAAUCAUCAAAGUUCAAAAUAAGCAAAUGUGACCAAGGCCGCCAUUCACCUUAAGAGGGUGAAUGCUACUACUACUUAAGAACCCCAGACAACAAGAGGCCUGAUACGUAAUUACGAACCAAGAAGAAGAGGGAAGGGACAUUUCAAGUAGUAGGAAAAUAAAUAAUUGUCAUGAAGAACUUCUCUUUCAUCAUUUCAUCCCUUCUUAUUUUUAUUUUUUAUAUAUUAGGUUGUGUGGGAAUAGAAACGUACCUUCACCAGCUUCAAUAACCUCCACAAAACGUUUGAGCACACCUUAAAGCAAGCAAACCCUAAAUUAAAUUAACAAAAGCUCCUCUGGGUAAACUUUUGUUUGCAAGCCUCCAAAGAUCAAGCUAAAAAAAUGAAGAGGGUUAGUAAGCAGCAGAUAUUAAAUAAAAGAUAUCCAUGAAGCUACUUCCAAAAGCGGACCACUCAAGUCAACUAGUAUCUGUAAUUCUGUAUCAACAAAACCAACAGAAGAAUCCAGAUUAGAUCAAAAUGUGCCUAUGUGAAUCCAAAUAAGUAUUCUGACCCCAUUAUUCUUUGGCAAAUAAAGAGAUGAUAAAGCAUGCUAGUAAUGAACUGAUACAAAUUACCUAAAAGGGAAAGUAAAGGGUACCAGAAGGAUCGCCUAAGCUGAGAUAUGCAACUUCUUAUACACAUUUGCCUCAAAUUGAGUCCUCUUGAUAAUUUCAGUGAUGUCUUUUUCGUUUAUAGUAAUGAUCGUCUUCGUCACCAUCCUCAUCUGACCCACUGACCAUCUGCCACCUUUCACGACUCAGCUCAUUAUUCAUAGACCUUGAAUUAUGCCUAGAAUGUCUUGAUCCAUGACUGGAAUCUCUCUCUUUCCAUUGUGCUUUAUGAUCACUGGAUAAGCUUUGUUGCAAACCAGAUUCUGAUUGGCUAUGAUGUUUCUGCUUGUCUCUUUUGCCUUCAGAACCAACUCUCUUUCUUUUAACAUCUUUUGUUUUACUACUUUGAUGUUGACGUUGACCGUGACUACGACUAUGACUAGAAUCAGCACUAAUGUGCACCAUUCCACCAUCAUGCUUCUUGGAGUUCCUAUGGCGGCACUUACGCCGCUCUUCACCGUGCCUGUUGGAGCUACUUGGCAUAUCUUCUACUUCUGAACUUGACCUUUCCAGUUCAUCAUCAAAAUUAGCAUAAUGCCGAUGUUUCCAAUUUGGCCUUUCAGUGCAGCUGUCCUUAGAGACACUCACACCGUCUUCCCUGUCUUGAUAAGAUCUGAGAUCAUGUGAUCUUUCUGUUUCUUUACGUCUCUUGUUAAACCUAUCAUCUUCUUCAUCAUCAUCAAAAGAUUGUCCCCUUCCCAAAUUAUUAUGUGAAACCUUCCGUCUCUUCUCAUCACCUUGAAGCUCCCAACAAUCUGAACGGUCUACAUGCCACUCUGCAUUGGGCCCUACUGGGCAUGCCAAACGCCCCACUCUUUUAGUAAAACCACCAUAGGGAGCCAUGCCACCAAACAUAGAUGGCAUAUAAGAAGGAACAGGAAAAGUUGUGGGUGGAACAAUGGUUGCAAAGGGAUUGCCAUAUGGGCUUAAAAGGGGCCUGAUUUGAGGAAAGGGACCAUUCCAGUAAGGUGAUAAAUAACCUGUCAUAGCUCCUGGAAACAUGGCAUUUCCUGUCUGAAGCAUAGGAUGUGGACUUGAAGCAGCUGGGCAGUCUCUUAUAAAAUGAUCUGGAGAUCCACACAUGUAACAUGUUCGGUCCCCCUUUCUGUGCCUUCCUGUCUCCAUAAAGCUUCUGUCUACACCUGCAGUGUUGACACAUGAUCCUCUCUUCUUCUUGAUGGUAGACUCAGCUUCCUCGUGCAGGGGCUGGUUCUCCCCUUGAA
rnacentral:misc_RNA from 1 species